rnacentral:lncRNA from 1 species
GUCAACAUCAGGUAUGGAGAUCUUGGGAGCUUUGAUAUUUAUUUCAGGCAUCUUGAACUUGGGGCCCUUUAGUUUCGCAUCUGGACCUUCGAUAUUCACAUCAGGAACAUCAACGUCCACUUUGGGUCCUGAGACAUCAAUGUCAGCCUUGGGCAGGUUCACAUCCACAUCUGGGCCCUCUCCUUUGAAGCCAGGCAUGCUGAACUUGGGCAUUUUCACCUUGGGCAUCUUCAGGUGCCAGUCUGGGCCUUGAACAUCAACAUCUGGAGCAUCAAUGUCCACCUUGGGUCCUGAGACAUCAAGGUCAGCCUUGGGCAGAUUCACAUCCACUUCAGGGCCCUCUGCUUUGAAGCCAGGCAUACUGAACUUGGGCAUUUUCAUCUUGGGCAUUUUCAGGUGCCAAUCUGGGUCGUGA